rnacentral:rRNA from 1 species
AGUGAACGCUGGCGGUAGGCCUAACACAUGCAAGUCGAACGGCAGCACAGAGGAGCUUGCUCCUUGGGUGGCGAGUGGCGGACGGGUGAGGAAUACAUCGGAAUCUACUCUGUCGUGGAGGAUAACGUAGGGAAACUUACGCUAAUACCGCAUACGACCUACGGGUGAAAGCAGGGGAUCUUCGGACCUUGCGCGAUUGAAUGAGCCGAUGUCGGAUUAGCUAGUUGGCGGGGUAAAGGCCCACCAAGGCGACGAUCCGUAGCUGGUCUGAGAGGAUGAUCAGCCACCCUGGAACUGAGACACGGUCCAGACUCCUACGGGGGGCAGCAGUGGGGAAUAUUAGACAAUGGGCGCAAGCCUGAUCCAGCCAUACCGCGUGGGUGAAGAAGGCCUUCGGGUUGUAAAGCCCUUUUGUUGGGAAAGAAAUCCAUCUGGUUAAUACCCGGGUGGGAUGACGGUACCCAAAGAAUAAGCACCGGCUAACUUCGUGCCAGCAGCCGCAGUAA